rnacentral:rRNA from 1 species
UAUGUGAUCGUCUCUCGCAUAUCAAUAAGCGGAGGAAAAGAAACUAACAAGGAUUCCCCUAGUAACGGCGAGUGAAGCGGGAAGAGCUCAAAUUUGAAAUCUUAAAGGGUUUCCCUUUACGAAUUGUAGUUUAAAGAAGUGUUUUCUGUUGAGGUUUUGGUAAAAGUUCUUUGGAAUAGGACAUCAUAGAGGGUGAGAAUCCCGUAUUUGACCUUUACUUUCAACUUUGUGAUACACUUUCAAAGAGUCGGAUUGUUUGGGAAUGCAGUCCAAAAUGGGUGGUAAAUUUCAUCUAAAGCUAAAUAUUGGCGAGAGACCGAUAGCGAACAAGUACCGUGAGGGAAAGAUGAAAAGAACUUUGAAAAGAGAGUUAAACAGUACGUGAAAUUGUCAAAAGGGAAGCGUUUGACACCAGUGUUGUUUUUCUGAAAAUCAAUUAAAGAACUGUUUAUGCUAAGUUGUUUAGACUUUAUCAGCUAUCUGCUUAGUUUUGAGCUUUUCUUUAAUGCACUUUUCAGUUAACAAGUCAACAUCAAUUUCUUUUGCUGUAAAAAAGCUUGAGGAAGGUGGCUUGAGAUUCGUCUUAAGUGUUUAUAGCCUCUUGCCUAUGCAGUCGGAGAGAUUGAGGUCUGCAGCGUAGAUCCUUCGGGGCUAAAUGCAUUUGUGCUAAGUUAUAGCAUUCUAUAGACAACUUGUUGACUAUGAUUUGUCUUGUAGCUUACUCGCUUAUGUUAUUUUACCUACGCUUAGGAUGUUGAGUAGCGACAUACGCAC